AAUACGUAGGGUGCAGGCGUUAAUCGGAAUUACUGGGCGUAAAGCGUGCGCAGGCGGUUUGCUAAGACAGGUGUGAAAUCCCCGGGCUUAACCUGGGAACUGCGCUUGUAACUGGCAGGCUGGAGUGUGGCAGAGGGGGGUGGAAUUCCACGUGUAGCAGUGAAAUGCGUAGAGAUGUGGAGGAACACCGAUGGCGAAGGCAGCCCCCUGGGCUAACACUGACGCUCAUGCACGAAAGCUAGGGGAGCGAACAGGA
rnacentral:rRNA from 1 species